rnacentral:rRNA from 1 species
ACGCACGCUGGCGGCGUGCUUAACGCAUGCAAGUCGAACGGAAAGGCCCUGCUUUUGUGGGGUGCUCGAGUGGCGAACGGGUGAGUAACACGUGAGUAACCUGCCCUUGACUUUGGGAUAACUUCAGGAAACUGGGGCUAAUACCGGAUAGGAGCUCCUGCUGCAUGGUGGGGGUUGGAAAGUUUCGGCGGUUGGGGAUGGACUCGCGGCUUAUCAGCUUGUUGGUGGGGUAGUGGCUUACCAAGGCUUUGACGGGUAGCCGGCCUGAGAGGGUGACCGGCCACAUUGGGACUGAGAUACGGCCCAGACUCCUACGGGAGGCAGCAGUGGGGAAUAUUGCACAAUGGGCGGAAGCCUGAUGCAGCAACGCCGCGUGCGGGAUGACGGCCUUCGGGUUGUAAACCGCUUUCGCCUGUGACGAAGCGUGAGUGACGGUAAUGGGUAAAGAAGCACCGGCUAACUACGUG